GAGAGGGUUGCCAUGACGAAGCUUUGGGUGAGGGCUCGACCUGUGGCGCGCUGCAUAACGAGAAUCGUGCGUAGAGAGAUGUCCAUGGUUCCAUAUUUGACGGGGUGGCCCUCCACAAGCUAGAACCUGAAGAACCUGCACGUUAGCACCAUCGUCUUCACAUGCAGGUACGCUGAAACUUUGCCCAGGCGGAUUUGCGGCCCCUCCUUGAACAGCGACCCAUGGCGUUGCGCACCGUCGCCGCCGAUCCACUGCUCUGGCCGGAAUCUAGCGGAGACGGGCCCUCAGCUGUACUCCACCCGCCCCAUGGAGCAGGGAACCUACAUCACCAUCCACUGGCGCGCAUCUCCUUUCCUUCGAUGGUGCCGAUGACCUCGCCCAUGAACCGAUAUCUCUUACCUUAAUCGCCAAGUAUCUCUCAAAUUGGCUGUUUAUUUUGCAUCCUGCAUGUAUAUUUUCGCUCAUAGUAGUGCCAUUAUGUAAGUAUGUAGUAGCUUCCUCACGCCAUCUGAUUGAUAUUGAGAUGUACAAAUUCAUCCAAGGCUCCAUUCAUAAAUCAUAACUCUACCCUACUAUUUUACUAAUUUAUUGUGAGGUUAUCCUUCAUGGUUUGCACAUUGUUAUUUCUUAGGCACAUAGACGCAUGAAUGUCCUUAUUAAUAAAUAUUUUUGUUCCAGCGAUUCCCUACUGAAGAAAGAACGCGCAAACAUUGCCAUGCAAAGGACUAUUUGUUAGAUAAUGAUUCCUCGCGUAUUCAUUUUCUUCCUGUCUUGGGAGAUAAUUUUCCAGAUUCUACCUUUACAGAUGGCCUUUAUCACUUUUCAGGUAAAACAAUGAAUUAUCUUUGUUUGUUCUAGGAGAUAUAUACCACCCUUGGGAACCAAGGAAAGAAAGGCUCCUUCUUCUAUCUUCGUCAUUUGCAAUAUCAAUUGGAUCUCUCCGUUGUGAAGUGCUAUCUUCGCUAUCUACACUCACAAUGUUACUGAUUUGUGUCCAAUCACGCUUUCUCUACUAUCAUUUGCAAGAUGAAGCCUGAGGACACUAUCAUUCCUUCCUACUAAAUGUCAGCCACUACUAUUUGCAUUAGCUUUGCCUCAGAACAACCCCUUUUUCAUUUCGAAAGAGGAAGUAGCAGUUCUCACUAAUGAUCAGCUAUAUAAGCUAUCGUAGAUUUUCUUUGUUUAACAAAGACAACGACCCGGUACUGUCAAUUUCUCUCGACCUUCAU